ensembl:lncRNA DTD1-AS1 DTD1 antisense RNA 1
AGACAGAUGCAGGCAGGGAGCGGGAGGAGGGAAUGGGAAUGAGCUGAGCAGCAGCAUCACAGCUGGAGGGCUGGACAUGGAUGACCAGCUCCUCACUUCCAGGUGUUUCCACAUCAAGCAUCCUGCAGACAGCUAACAAGUUCAUUCUACAAAGUACAGUUCUCACCACUUUAUCCUUCCUCUGCUCGGAAACAGUCAAUGGUUUCCCACUGUCCACAGGGGAUGCUUAACGCAUGUGGGUUAUGCAGCUAGAAAGACAAGGCACAACCUCUUUGGUCUCUGCCUCUUUUCAUGGCACAGACACCAAAAGCCAUCUAAUGGAUGACCAGACAACAUGGAGAAAAGAGCUCUCCUAGAAAGCCAAGGCCCAGAAGAGUGAGGAGAAGGCCUGUGUCCGGCAGGGUCUACUGAUUCUAAGCCUACGACAUACUGAGAAGAAAAUCAACUCUCUAUCAAGGAAUGUGAUAGAUGUGGGAUUAAGUAUCAUCAUUGAUUUAAAGAGUACAAAGUUUGAAGAAAAUGCUUCCCCGAGACAUUUGGCAAGGAUACAGCUUUCCUCUAUUAUGCCCAGGCAGCCACCUCUGAAAGCUCCCUAGAAUAUAACUCAAGAAUGGCACCCAAAAUCCCUGAGCAUCUUGUUCCUCUCCAGCCAUACAAAGGGAUGACAACAACAUGGAUCCAGCAACCGGAAGGUAUGUUUGCCACUGUGUGUCAGCCAGACUUCAAAAUGGUCCCCAGUGAUUCUUGCCUCCUGGUAUUCAUGACCCAUGUAGUCAGGUAGGUCUGACCUACAUAACCAACAGGAUGCUGCAGAAAUGACAGUAUGGGACUUCCAAGGCUAGGGCUCUGGGGGAAACCAGUCCACAUGUUGUGAGGACAUUCAAGCAGCCCUGUGGAAAAGCCCAUGUGGCAAAACACUGAGGCCUCCUGCCCACAGCCAGCAUUAGCUUCCCAGCCUCUGUAGUGGGCCACUUUGGAAGUAGGCGCUCCUGCCUGUCCAAAUUACAGUGGACCGAGGCCCCAACCAAAAGCUUGGCUGGAAUCUCAUGAGACACCCCUGGCCAGAAACACCUGGGCUCAAUGGUCCAAAUUCCUGACCCACAGAAACUGUGUAAAAAAUGUUUAUUGUUGUGUUGAGCUGCUGAGUUUGGGAGUAACCUGCUAUGCUGCACUAAACAACUAACAGAGACGGCCUGACUUAAAGACCAAUGUGACACACACAGAAUUCACUUCCCAGGAGCUGGGACUGGGGUCUCCACCAGCACAACUGCAGGCAAAGGCUGAAAGGUCUCUGCACAGGCACCCACACUAUUCUGCCCAGGGUGGUCCCAGGGGCAGAGGCAGGGGCAGAUUUCCAUCACCAUGGUCUAGGGCUCCCCUGUGACAGACGGGAGGCCAGCUGAUUUCCAAAACUGCUUGGUGAGCACUAACUGGGGCAGCAGAGGAGGGGCAUCAGCUCCCCCAGAGGAGAUAGCAUCUGGCCUUGUCCACAGAGGCACUAGGAAUCAAUCUGGAGUCACGAGGUCACAUGUGGCCCCAAAUUGGGGGUAAACCCACAGAAGAAACGACCCUCCACAAAGUAACUCUUGAAACUAUGCAUGCUGCCCUGCAAUCCCUUUGAUGUACCUUUAAGUUCAUUUGGACCUUUUGAUAUUUGUUCUUGAAGUCAUCUCCAAGUAAAAUUAUUUAACUCUC